GAGAAUUUUCUCUCAAGUCGAUUGUUUCCCUGGGUCUUCUCCAUACAACCGAUAAGCUUUGAUCUAGUUUUCCCUGCCCUUGGGGGUAAGGGAAGCAGCAGUUUGCUUAUCUCUCCGGCUAGACUUGGAGCAAUUCUCUCUCACCUCUUGGCUCGGUAUGUAUAGUUUUGGUUUGUGGUUUUUGCAGGGGCGGUAAAAAAGGUGAGAGCUAUCCUUGCAAUCCAGUGUGUGGUUUAUUGUUGUUUGGGUUGGGGCUUACUGUUGAGCUUGCUGGAUGAAGGUUGGGAGGUUUGUUUGGUGCUGGGUCAGCGGCUUGCUUUGAGCGACAAAAGGUCUCUCCUUGUUAUGGUUGUUUUGCAUCUCUGGGAUUUUGCUGCUUCUAUACCACAUCUGAGAAGGUUGUCUCGUUGACUUAUGAUGGCAGAAGAGCGCUGCGACAACACCCUUUGUCGUGGUAGAGCCAAGUAGAGCUGAGCUCUUUACAAGACGGGUGUAACGGAAAAAAUAAUGUAUGAAAAAAGAGUGAAUUUGAACUUAAUUACUAAAAGGGUGAAAUUGAGUUAAGUUCAGACUCGCCCUUUUUGUAUAUUAUUUUUUUUACACCCAUCUGGUAAAAAGCUCAACAAAGCUUUAUGGAGAAUGGUGGUCGGUGCAGAUGGUGAAAAAUUGUGCUGUGAUGGGCGAUGUUGGAUUGCUCUGUAUGAAGUUGACGAUGAGUGGGCUUCGAUUUCUGGCUUAAUUGUUUUUGGCGAUGGCAAGCAACGGAGGAAGGUGGCGGUGGUUCUCUGUCAAAGCUGUCCUCUGUUUUCCAGGGAUUUCUAGGAAGGGGACGGUUUGAUUUGUGGUGGCUUGGUUUGGUUGGGUUUGAUUUAAUUAGGCUUGAUGGACUUGUCCUUAUCACUCUGUGUGGGCCUUUAUUUCUCCUAAAUCCAGUUGUAACUCUUGCCCUUAUUGGACUCUUAAUGCAAAAUGGGCAUUUAUAAAAAAAUCUUAAUUACUCGGGCCAUGGGAAAUCUUGGCUUGAUUGUGAAGAUCUUGCCUUGAAUGUGGCCAAUUAUUCAAGACUUUAACUUCUAACAUCUGAGAAAUCCGAUCCCGGUGAAGUGGAAAUCACUAUUACAUGUAGUCUCCGAAGAAAGUGUUGUGAUGUGAAGGAGGCAAUUAAAAUAAUGUCCAAUAUGAGAGUGGCAGUGGUCGGUGGUGGGAUUAAGGGUCUUGCUUCAGCUCAUGUUCUUGCAAAAUCUGGAGUUGAGGUUCUUUCUAUACAAGAAAAAGGGCCACUUGGGUGCCCAUGCAAACACUGUUAGCUUUCAUGGUGUUGAUUUAGACCUUGGCUUCAUGGCCUUCAAUCCUGCAACGUAUCCAAAUGUGGAGUUCUUUGCAAGUCUUGGAGUUGAAAUGGAGGUAUCAGAAAUGUCAUUCUCAGUUAGCUUAGACGAAGGUGACAGUUAUGAAUGGGUUAGCAGAAACAGCUUCUCAAGUUUGUUUGCACAGAAGAAGAAUGUGAUAAAUCCAUACUUUUGGAAAUUGGUUCGAGAAAUCAACAAGUUCAAGGAUGAUGUCUUCAGGUUGCAUUGUAUCCUGCAAAGAUGGUUCACCAGAAAUGUACAGUGGGUGCAUAAUAGCUGUUCGUGCCCCAGUUGCUCUGAAAUUAUUAGGAAAGCAUGCAACAUUUGACGAAAGGAGAGUACUUGGCGCUUUUCACUACAAGCAUAGCUUGGUGCCCAUGGAAUUUCUUAGGAAGGACUGAUACUAAAGGAUGCCUGACUUACUGGCUGAAUGUGCUUCAGAAUAUUGGUGAAACAAGUUUACCUUUCCUUGUGACACUUAAUCCAGAUCGUGCACCAGAUCAUAUCUUACUUAAGUGGUCCACUAGCCACCCAGUCAUGUAGGUGCAUCAAAAGCUUUGCUUGAACUUGACUGCAUCCAGGGCAGGAGGGGUAUAUGGUUCUGUGGAGCAUACCAUGGCUUUGGAUUUUGUGAGGACAGACUGAAGUCUGGCAUGGUUGCAGCUCAUUGUUUGCUUGGAAAAAGUUGUGCUAUCCUGAGCAAUCCAAAGCCCAUGGUACCGUCUCUAUUAGAGAUUGGGGCGCAGCAUUUUGUUUCCAAAUUCCUUGGACAUUUUAUUUCCACAGGUUCUUUAAUGUAAUGACACAAGCUGAUAUGGGCCUCGCAGAUCCGCAUAUUGAUGGAGAUUUUCAUUUUUUGACAAAGAAGAAGGUCUCCUAAAUCUUUUCAUGGUAUUGAUUGCCAAUAGAGAUGCAAGUAAAUCUGUCUUAAAAUUGGACAACAGAAGGUAUGCUUGACCAGUAGACUCCAAGAUUUCGAUUUUACCAGAAUCUAUUUCUUGGAUAUCAUGUUGCAUUAACCAUUGUACCUCAUUUUAGAGGUUGGUGGACACUGUUGUUAUUCACAGCUGGUAUUUCAUUAGCAAAAUUUUUCUUUCGGCAUCUUCAAAGGAAAAAUUCUCCUGCACAAGCUCGGAGGAAUAUCUCUUAUCAUUAUGAUCUGGUAUAAGUAAUGAUAGAUUUCUAAUUAUUCUCCUAUUAAGUGAUAUUUGUGGAUUUUUCUCUUAGCAGAUAUCGUCCUAGGUUGGGUGUUUUGGGGAGGUCAAAUGAUCGGGUGUUAGGUAGAUGAUAUAUGCUAAGUUUUUCCUGAAUUUUCUAUUGAUAAUAAAUUUUUUCCUUAUAAAAGAAAGUGAUAUCUGUGGAUGGAUAAGUUUAUUGGGGAGUAGCUGAAGGAACCUGUAACAAAUUCCCAUUCCAGUCUAUUAACACUAAUCUCUCAAUAGCAAGCUCUCAUCACUCUCUUUUUCUUUUUAUUUUUUCAAUAGUAAUGAACUUUUUGGUCUAUUCUUGGAUGAAACAAUGACAUAUUCCUGUGCAAUAUUGAAGGUAAGAAACCUACUUUUUGUUGAUCUUAAUUUCGUUAAGUGCAAGAAAUAAGUAAUAUCAUCCCUUCUGUGCUAUUGCUUGAAAAUUGUACUCUUUUAUUUGCAUGUGAAAUCAUUUUAUAGACAGAAAAUGAAGACUUAAAAGCAGCACAGCUGAGAAAAAUUUCACUUCUUAUUGAAAAAGUGAGUCCAGUCAGUAACCAUUUGUGAAAUUUUAAUUAAAAGUUUAUGCUAUUUAUAAUUUUGUGUAUUUACCUUUAAGUCUUUAACCAAACUAGGCAAGAAUUGAUGAAAAGAAUGAAGUUCUUGAAAAUGGUUGCUGUUGGGGAAGCUUAGCUAUUGAAGUUUUCAAACAAAUUGGAUGCAAAUAUACUGGCAUCACUCUAUCUGAAGAACAACUUAAAUUUGCAGAAACAAAAGUGAAGCAAGCUGGGCUUCAGGACCGCAUCAGGUUUCUCCUUUGUGACUCGCAAAUUGCCUGAAAGCUACAAAUAUGACAGAAUCAUAUCUUGUGGAAUGAUAGAACAUGUUGGGCAUGAAUAUAUGGAGGAUUCCAAUGGUUGCUGUGAAUCCGUGUUAGCAGAGGAUGGGCUUCUUGUUUUACAGGUAAUGAUGAAAUGGGAAGACUAAAGAAUUUCAUGCUUAAUUACUCUUAUGUUUGCUUGAUUUUCCAUUCCAUAUAUUGCUAAUUAUCAAUAUUGUGGUUGACUUUUGCUCAAUUCAUAUCGAUACUGGAUAAACGAUAUGAUGAGUUCAGGGAAAAUACAGAUUUUCUGAAGUAAUAUAUUUUCCCUGGCGGAUGCUUGCCUUCAUUAAGUAGGAUAACAUCAGCCAUGAGUACUGCAUCAAGACUAUGUUAUAAGCAAUUAUAGUUAAAUCAAUUUGUAUUUCUUAUAAUCUAAUUUUUCCCCUUAAAUACUGACAGAAGUAUUGUGCAGUGUGGAGCAUGUAGAAAAUAUAGGAAGCAACUAUUUUCGUACCUUAAGAUGCUGGAGGAAAAAUUUCUUGGAGAACCAGGGGUAAACUUACAAGUUGCCUGGUUGCCAUCAUAAUCUUUAUAUGGUUGUAUUCUCUCUUCCUGGAAAUAUUCAGACAUUGGGGGAUCCAUACAAAGGUUUUCCAUCAGCAUACUCUCAUCAAAAGGACUGCAAAUGCAUCUGCUCAUCAUCUUGCAAAACUUAGCUACAGGAAUAUUUUGCCGCGUAAUCGGCUCUCUGCGGCCCCUAAUUCUCUUGCUAGAAUCUGCAGUCUUGAUGCCCACAGGGUUGGUAAUGCAUUUUGCAGUUAAAAAAAAAAAGCCAAGGAACCAAAUCAUUUUGCAUUUUGCCUAACCCAAAUUAAUGAGGUUAGAAAUACAAAUGUGGCACAAUGGGGUCAAGGCUAAGGGCCCAAGACUAUAGGUUACAAAGCUCAUUCAAGAUUCGAGUCCAACAACUUGAUUAAUUUGACACUGAUUCUCAUUACUAGUUGUCAAAGCAUAUUGAAGGGUGAGCUUCUUGGUUUAUAAAAUGAGGACAUUUGCAUAGACACUUCUUAGCGUGCAUCCUCUUUCUUGUUUUCUCUAAGAAUUUUUCAAGUCAGUGCAUAGCACACAAAUGUUAAGGACUACGUCUCCUACUCCGCGGUCUAGCACGGCCGCUUCACAAAGUUGUUCUGAUGCUGGGAGCAAUCCAGAACACAAGGCACCUUGUCCGCUGGAAGUUAUAGAUAAGAUUUCUUGGAUUCUAUAUCUCCGCUUCAUCUUGUGUCCAUUUCACAAAAUCUUACAUCUUAUAUGAUUUUAUCACUGUAUCAAAUUAAACACAAUUUUUUUUUAACUAGCACUAUAAUAGUUAAAAUAUCCCAGUCUCCAUUUUCCAAUGGAUGUACUGAAGUCGAC
rnacentral:misc_RNA from 1 species